AGGCCUAACACAUGCAAGUCGAGCGGCAGCGGGAAGAAGCUUGCUUCUUUGCCGGCGAGCGGCGGACGGGUGAGUAAUGUCUGGGGAUCUGCCUGAUGGAGGGGGAUAACUACUGGAAACGGUAGCUAAUACCGCAUAACGUCGCAAGACCAAAGUGGGGGACCUUCGGGCCUCACACCAUCGGAUGAACCCAGAUGGGAUUAGCUAGUAGGCGGGGUAAAGGCCCACCUAGGCGACGAUCCCUAGCUGGUCUGAGAGGAUGACCAGCCACACUGGAACUGAGACACGGUCCAGACUCCUACGGGAGGCAGCAGUGGGGAAUAUUGCACAAUGGGGGAAACCCUGAUGCAGCCAUGCCGCGUGUAUGAAGAAGGCCUUCGGGUUGUAAAGUACUUUCAGCGGGGAGGAAGGGAGUAAGGUUAAUAACCUUAUUCAUUGACGUUACCCGCAGAAGAAGCACCGGCUAACUCCGUGCCAGCAGCCGCGGUAAUACGGAGGGUGCAAGCGUUAAUCGGAAUGACUGGGCGUAAAGCGCACGCAGGCGGUUUGUUAAGUCAGAUGUGAAAUCCCCGAGCUUAACUUGGGAACUGCAUUUGAAACUGGCAAGCUAGAGUCUUGUAGAGGGGGGUAGAAUUCCAGGUGUAGCGGUGAAAUGCGUAGAGAUCUGGAGGAAUACCGGUGGCGAAGGCGGCCCCCUGGACAAAGACUGACGCUCAGGUGCGAAAGCGUGGGGAGCAACAGGAUUAGAUACCCUGGUAGUCCACGCCGUAAACGAUGUCGACUUGGAGCUGUGCUUGAACGUGCUCGACUACGCGUUAGUCGACGCGUGGGAUCGGCGAGGGUAACUAGUAUGACGGGGCCACACGG
rnacentral:rRNA from 1 species